UGGGGAAUAUUGCGCAAUGGGCGAAAGCCUGACGCAGCGACGCCGCGUGGGGGAUGACGGCCUUCGGGUUGUAAACCUCUUUCAGCAGGGACGAAGCGAAAGUGACGGUACCUGCAGAAGAAGCACCGGCCAACUACGUGCCAGCAGCCGCGGUAAUACGUAGGGUGCAAGCGUUGUCCGGAAUUAUUGGGCGUAAAGAGCUCGUAGGCGGUUUGUUGCGUCGGCUGUGAAAUCCCGAGGCUCAACCUCGGGUCUGCAGUCGAUACGAGCAAACUAGAGUGUUGCAGGGGAGACUGGAAUUCCUGGUGUAGCGGUGAAAUGCGCAGAUAUCAGGAGGAACACCGGUGGCGAAGGCGGGUCUCUGGGCAACAACUGACGCUGAGGAGCGAAAGCGUGGGGAGCGAACAGG
rnacentral:rRNA from 1 species